rnacentral:rRNA from 1 species
AUGAACGCUAGCGACAGGCCUAACACAUGCAAGUCGAGGGGCAUCGGGGGCGUAGCAAUACGCUGCCGGCGACCGGCGGAUGGGUGAGUAACGCGUAUGCAACCUGCCUUCAGCAGGGGGAUAGCCCGUUGAAAGACGGAUUAAUACCCCAUAACACAGGGGCUCCGCAUGGAGAUUAUUGUUAAAGGGACACUUCCUUCGGGGGGUAUUCCGGCUGAAGAUGGGCAUGCGUUCCAUUAGGUAGUUGGUUGAGGUAACGGCUCACCAAGCCUACGAUGGAUAGGGGAACUGAGAGGUUGGUCCCCCACACUGGUACUGAGACACGGACCAGACUCCUACGGGAGGCAGCAGUGAGGAAUCUUGGUCAAUGGACGGAAGUCUGAACCAGCCAUGUCGCGUGAAGGAGGACGGCCCUAAGGGUUGUAAACUUCUUUUGCAGGGGAAUAAAGUAUUCCACGUGAUGGGAUAUUGCAAGUACGCUGCGAAUAAGGAUCGGCUAACUCCGUG